GACGAACGCUGGCGGCGUGCUUAACACAUGCAAGUCGAACGAAGUGGCGAACGGGUGAGUAACGCGUAAUCAACCUGCUCAUCAGAGGGGGACAACAGUUGGAAACGACGGCUAAUACCGCAAACUGAAGGAGGGGAUUGCGUCUGAUUAGUUCGUUGGAGGGGUAACGGCCAACCAAGCCGAUGAUCAGUAGCCGACCUGAUAGGAUGAACGGCCACAUUUGGACGGUGACACGGCCCAGACUCCUACGGGAGGCAGCGGUGGGGAAUCUUCCGCAAUGGACGAAAGUCUGACGGAGCAACGCCGCGUGAGUGAUGACGGCCUUCGGGUUGUAAAGCUCUGUUAAUCGGGACGCGGUACCGGAAUAGAAAGCCACGGCUAACUACGUGCCAGCAGCCGCGGUAAUUC
rnacentral:rRNA from 1 species